GAUUCUACCAGAUUGAUGAGAGGUUUUAUUCCCCCAGGCCAGGAUUCUACCAGAUUGAUGAGAGGUUUUAUUCUCCAGACCAGGAUUCUACCAGAUUGAUGAGAGGUAUUAUUCCCCCAGGCCAGGAUUCUACCAGAUUGAUGAGAGGUUUUAUUCUCCAGGCCAGGAUUCUACCAGAUUGAUGAGAGGUUUUAUUCUCCAGACCAGGAUUCUACC